AUUGAACGCUGGCGGCAGGCCUAACACAUGCAAGUCGAACGGUAACAGUAAUCAGCUUUCUGCUUUGCUGACGAGUGUCGGUCGGUUGAGUAAUGUCUGGUAAACUGCCUGAUGGAGGGGUUUAACUACUGGAAACGGUAUCUAAUCCCGCAUAACUUCGCAAUACCACAGAGCAGUACCUUCGGGCCUCUUGCCAUCUGAUGUGCCCAGAUGGGAUUAGCUAGUAGGUGGGGUAUAGUCUCACCUAGGCGACGAUACCUAGCUGGUCUUAGAUGGUGACCAGACAAACUAGAACUGAGACACGGUCCAGACUCCUACGGGAGGCAGAAGUGGGAAAUAUUGAACAAUGGGAGCAAGGCUGAUGCAGCCAUGCCGCGUGUAUGAAGAAGGCAUUCGGGUUGUAAAGUACAUUCAGCGGGGAGGAAGGGAGUAAAGUUAAUACCUGUGCAAAUUGACGUUACCAGAAGAAGAAGCACCGGCUAACUACGUG
rnacentral:rRNA from 1 species